CAGGAUACCAAACAAAAAUAUUACAUAGAGAUGCAGUACCAACAAUAUUCACUCACAUAUCUCACAUAAGGUAAAGUUAUAACGACCAGAGCCGACACUGUACACUUCUAAAGAAAGUGAACAAGAGGAAAUAUUUUUUUUAUCACCAAAAGUCGGAAUUGUUCAGUGCUUCGUAGUCAUUGUAUUCUAACUAUAUUGAAUAAAAAUCUUAUAAAGAA